GACGAAGGAUGCAAGCGUUAUCCGGAUUCAUUGGGUUUAAAGGGAGCGUAGGCGGACUUGUAAGUCAGUGGUGAAAUCUGUGGGCUUAACCCACAAACUGCCAUUGAUACUGCAGGUCUAGAGUACAGUUGCCGUUGGCGGAAUAUGACAUGUAGUGGUGAAAUACUUAGAUAUGUCAUAGAACACCGAUUGCGAAGGCGGCUCACUGGCCCGCAACUGACGCUGAGGCGCGAAAGCGUGGGGAGCAAACAGG
rnacentral:rRNA from 1 species